AUGUCAUUCCUCCGGCAAGAGCCGGCGGCGCCAGCAUGGUUCCUCUCGUUGGCCUUCCUCGGCACCCUUUACGCCUCUGCAGUCUCGUUCCGGCUCCUCGCCUACCUCGCGCUCUGCUUACGCCGGCCGAAGGACCUCCGCCGCCGCUACGGCGCCUGGGCCGUUGUCACCGGCCCGACGUCCGGCAUCGGCCGGUCCGUCGCUCUGGAGCUUGCCAGUCGAGGCCUCAACCUCGUGCUCGUCGACCUCGACGCCGACAAUCUCCGGGAGAUCUCCAACACCAUCAGAUCUCACCACGCCGUGCAGACCAAGACCGUGGUGUUCGACCUCUCGCUCGUUUCCACCGCCCAAGGUGACGAGGCGCUGCGGCGGCUCCGAGAGGCCGUGGCGGGGCUGGACGUGGGAGUGCUGGUGAACAACGCCGGGGUGGCGAAGCCGGGCGCGGUGUACCUGCGCGAGGCCGACGUGGAGGCUUGUGUGAGGUUGAUGCGGGUGAACCUGUGGGCGGUGACGGAGGUGACCGCCGCGGUGCUGCCCGGGAUGGUGGAGCGGGGCAGGGGCGCCGUCGUCAACAUGGGCUCAGCCUCGUCGGAGGCCAUCCCCUCCUUCCCCCUCUACACCAUGUACGCCGCCACCAAACGGUAUGUUGCGCAGUUCUCCAGGAGCCUUUACGUUGAGUACAGAAGCGAAGGGAUCGAUGUGCAAUGCCAGGCUCCGUUCUACGUGGCGACCAGGAUGGUCUCGAUUCUGGCGGAGAGCGGGCGGGCCGGGCGCCUCUUUAUGCUCCUCAUCGCGCCGACGCCCGACGCGUACGCGCGUGCGGCGGUGCGCUGGAUCGGCCACGGCCCGCCCCUCUGCGCCCCCAACCUCGGCCACCAGCUCCUGUGGUGCCUCGCCACCGUCCUGCCGGACUUCGUCCACGACUGGCUCCGCAUGCGCGAGCACCUGCAGCACAGAGCGGUGGCUCAGAGGGCGCCGAGACGUCGCGCCGGCGUGCCAACAACUCUCAAGUGA
rnacentral:rRNA from 1 species